rnacentral:rRNA from 1 species
UACGAAGGGGCUAGCGUUGUUCGGAAUUACUGGGCGUAAAGCGCGUGUAGGCGGGUCUUUAAGUCAGGGGUGAAAUGCCAAGGCUCAACCUUGGAACUGCCUUUGAUACUGGAGAUCUUGAGUCCGAGAGAGGUGAGUGGAAUUGCGAGUGUAGAGGUGAAAUUCGUAGAUAUUCGACAAGAACACCAGUGGCGAAAGGCGGCUCACUGGCUCGGAACUGACGCUGAGACGCGAAAGCGUGGGGAGCGAACAG